rnacentral:tRNA from 1 species
GGGUCUAUAGUCUAAUGGUAUGACAGGAGACUUCUAAUCUUUUCGUACGGGUUCAAAUCCCGUUAGAUCCU